rnacentral:rRNA from 1 species
GACGAACGCUGGCGGCGUGCCUAAUACAUGCAAGUAGAACACUGAAGGAGGAGCUUGCUUCUCUGGAUGAGUUGCGAACGGGUGAGUAACGCGUAGGUAACCUGCCUGGUAGCGGGGGAUAACUAUUGGAAACGAUAGCUAAUACCGCAUAACAGUAGAUGUUGCAUGACAUUUGCUUAAAAGGUGCAAUUGCAUCACUACCAGAUGGACCUGCGUUGUAUUAGCUAGUUGGUGGGGUAACGGCUCACCAAGGCGACGAUACAUAGCCGACCUGAGAGGGUGAUCGGCCACACUGGGACUGAGACACGGCCCAGACUCCUACGGGAGGCAGCAGUAGGGAAUCUUCGGCAAUGGACGGAAGUCUGACCGAGCAACGCCGCGUGAGUGAAGGAGGUUUUCGGAUCGUAAAGCUCUGUUGUAAGAGAAGAACGAGUGUGAGAGUGGAAAGUUCACACUGGACGGUAUCUACCAGA